GGAAGCCCCAUCAUCUCAUUUGGACAAUUAGGGGAAUUGGAGUCAUCUAAAGGCUCUACAAUCAAUUGGUGAGUGGACUGCCUUCAAAACUUGUUUUGGGAAAUAUAAUGUAUUUUCCACCCAUUUGAAUGAAUUAUCAAGUUUUUCACAAAGACAAGUGCCUUGGGAACAAGCUUUUGCAAAAUGAUUUUAUGUUGUGAUAUGUGAUUGCUAU
rnacentral:lncRNA from 1 species